rnacentral:rRNA from 1 species
GUUAAGCAGUAAAUGUGGAGCCGUAGCGAAAGCGAGUCUGAAUAGGGCGUUUAGUAUUUGGUCGUAGACCCGAAACCAGGUGAUCUACCCUUGGUCAGGUUGAAGUUCAGGUAACACUGAAUGGAGGACCGAACCGACUUACGUUGAAAAGUGAGCGGAUGAACUGAGGGUAGCGGAGAAAUUCCAAUCGAACCUGGAGAUAGCUGGUUCUCUCCGAAAUAGCUUUAGGGCUAGCCUCAAGUGAUGAUUAUUGGAGGUAGAGCACUGUUUGGACGAGGGGCCCCUCUCGGGUUACCGAAUUCAGACAAACUCCGAAUGCCAAUUAAUUUAACUUGGGAGUCAGAACAUGGGUGAUAAGGUCCGUGUUCGAAAGGGAAACAGCCCAGACCACCAGCUAAGGUCCCAAAAUAUAUGUUAAGUGGAAAAGGAUGUGGCGUUGCCCAGACAACUAGGAUGUUGGCUUAGAAGCAGCCAUCAUUUAAAGAGUGCGUAAUAGCUCACUAGUCGAGUGACACUGCGCCGAAAAUGUACCGGGGCUAAACAUAUUACCGAAGCUGUGGAUUGUCCUUUGGACAAUGGUAGGAGAGCGUUCUAAGG